rnacentral:rRNA from 1 species
UACGAAGGGGGCUAGCGUUGUCCGGAAUCAUUGGGCGUAAAGAGCGUGUAGGCGGCCCGGUAAGUCCGCUGUAAAAGUCAAAGGCUCAACCUUUGAAUGUCAGUGGAUACUGCCGGGCUAGAGUCCGGAAGAGGCGAGUGGAACUCCUGGUGUAGCGGUGGAAUGCGCAGAUAUCAGGAAGAACACCCGUGGCGAAGGCGGCUCUCUGGGACGGUACUGACGCUGAGACGCGAAAGCGUGGGGAGCGAACAGG